rnacentral:lncRNA from 10 species
CUGGAUUCAAGUGAUUCUCCUGCCUCAGCCUCCCAAAUAGCUGGGAUUACAGGCAUGUGCCAAAAUGCCUGGCUAAUUUUUGUAUUUUUUUUAAGAAGAGACGGGGUUUCGCCAUGUUGGCCAGGCUGGUUUCAAACUCCAGACUUCAAGUGAUCCACCCACCUCGGCCUCCCAAAGUGCUGGGAUUACAGGCGUGAACCACCACGCCCGGCCAGCCCUUAUGACUUGACAGCUUGUUCUCACAGAGACCCCCAGUCCACUGACCUGAUGUCUGCUUCCCUCAACAUCCCUCAUUUCUCUUUUUACCUUUAAUUAGAGAAAUAAUACCAAAACCUCCUUUAGGCAGCACACCCUGCUAAGUCCCAGCCCUGGGAGUCAUACUGAGGUGCCUGCACAUCAAACACCAGCGUCUAAGCUAUAGACAAAUGCAGAGCCAUGUGCAGGCCUGAAUGUCAUUCACCACCGCAAACCUCAAACGGACACACAGCACUGCCUGAGCCUCCCACUGCUUUUCUCUGCUGUGUCACUCUCCCUUAGAGUAGUAAUAAUGUCCACCUUCUCUGUCUUUGAAACCUACCUACCUUGUCAGCUGGCCUUGUGCUUCAUAGAGAAUACAGAAGUAAUCUUGCAGAAACCCGUCUUUCCCCUCAGUACCCACAUCUCACCUGUCCCUACCAGAAUGAGCAGCCCUAGCUCCUGUCCAUGUGGGCCUGGACCUGAACUCUCCCCUCCUGCCCCAUCCACUUGACUCCUGUGGUGGCUCACCAUCUCCAACACAUCAUCCAUCUCUCUGUGCUUGCUGGAUCAUUCCCUCCGGCUCAGAACAUGCACCAUCAUCCGUACCAUUUUUGUUUUUGUUUUUUAAAGAGACAAGGUCUGGCUUUGUUGCCCAGGCUGGAGUGCAAUGACACAAUCAUGGCUCAAUGCAGCCUUGACCUCCUGGGCUCAAGUAAUCUUCCCACUUCAGCCUCCAAAGUAGUUGGAAUUACAGGUGCAUACCACCAUGCCCAGCUAAUUUUAUUUUCUACUGUGGUCCAUCAGGUUAUACAGAGGUCUCACUAUGUUGCCCAGGCUGAUCUUGAACUCAUGGACUCAAGUGAUCCUCCCACUUCGGCCUCCCAAAGUGCUGGGAUUAUAGGCGUGAGCCACUGCACCUGGCCAACAUCCCCCAUCUGUCACCCAAGCUGGAGUGCAGUGGUGUGAUCUUGGCUCACAGCAACCUCCACCUCCCGGGUUCAAGCAAUUCUCCUGCCUCAGCCUCCCAAGUAGGUGGGAUUACAGGCUCCCACCACCAUACCCAGCUAAUUUUUGUAUUUUUCGUAUUUUGUAUUUUUAGUAGAGACCACUUUGACCAGGCUGGUCUCGAAUUCCUGACCUCAAGUGAUCCACCCACCUCAGCCUCCCAAAGUGCUGGGAUUACAAGCAUGAGCCACCGCGCCUGGCCAACAUCCCCCAUCUUCAAAACACUCUCCCUGGCCAGGCACGGUGGCUCACACCUGUAAUCCCAACACUUUGGGAGGCUGAGGCAGGUGGAUUGCAUGAGGUCAGGAGUUCAAGACCAGCCUGGCCAACAUGGCGAAACCCUGUCUCUGCUAAAAUAUAAAAAUUAGCUGGGUGUGGUAGUGGGUGACUGUAAUCCCAGCAACUUGGGAGGCUGAGGCAGGAGAAUCACUUGAAACCAGGAGGCGGAGGUUACAGUGAGCCACGAUCGUGCCACUACACUCCAGCCUUGGCAACAGUGGGAGACAAACAAACAAACAAACAACAACAACAAAAAACCCCCAAAAAAACACUCUCCCUAUCCCCAUGUCAUCUCUCUCCAGCAACCUCCCUUCCAUUUUUCUCUUCCCCUUAAUAGAAAAUUCACAAGAGUUGUCUCCAUUUACUGCUUCCAACCCUCCCCUCAUUUCUACUCCCCAAUAACUUCAAGCUCUCUCAAACUUUCAUUCAGACUCUCCUCCUUGCACCCCACUGACACUGCUUGUCAGGCACCACUGACCUCUGUGUGGUGAAUCCAAUGGCCAACCCCAGUCUCGCUCAGGCUCCUAACGGUAUAGAGAUGGCUGAUCGUCUUCCUCUAAACAUGUGGCUUUGGGCUCCUGCUUUCUUGGUUCUCUUCCUGGGUUUCUCCCUAGUUGUUUCAGCUGUGCCCAGGGCUGCAGCCCGAACUUCCCGCUGACCUGCCUAUCUAUCUCAUUUCUGAGGCAAUCACAUUGUCACAGGCUUCCCAUCGUAUCUCUGCAUAGACCACUCCGAAAUGUCUCUCUAGUCUCAACUCAUUCCCCACUGCCUCCCUGAUGCCCUCGGUACCUGGGUGUCUAGCAGAUAUCUCCUCAUUCUUGACACAUUCAAAACACGACUCUCUAUUUUCCCCCAAGAAGUUCUCCCAGCCUCCCCAACUUCAAAAAUCAGCACUUCAUCCAUCUAGCUGCUCAAGAUAAAUCAAGUGGCAAGCCCUGCCAGAUCCACUUACUAAACACUCCACAGCUGGCCUCUUCUCGCCACUGCCACUGCCACGACCUAUCCCAUCCCCACCCCAUCCAUGCCACCUGGACCACUGAGGCUGCUUCCUCCCUGGCUGGCUUCCACUCUGCUGGCAUGCAGUUGAUUCCAUGUGGGAUGUUAAUCACAUCACAUUCCCCG